UAUAAAAUUGCAAUUUUUCAUGAAAAUUUCAUAUUAAGUUCUGUAAUGGUUUAAAUGUGAUCAAUCUUGUUUAAUUCACCAUUUAAUCAUGGAAUUUCUAAAAGUCUGUGAAUCCAUUUCUAAUUAUAUGUAUAAAUAGGGUACUUUAUAAGAAAAAUGUUGUCCAGCAUGUUAGAUGAGUUUGUCCAUUAUUUUAGCACAUGUUUUGAUCUCACAUUGUUAACUUCUAAAAAUCUUUGUUAGUGUAACUUUACACAAGAAAAAUAAAUUUCACUCAUACUCCGAUUAACACGAUUCUUAUUGCAAAAUUCAUCUAAAAUCAUGUUCUUUAUUUUCAUGCAGAAAUACUUUGUGUUCAUUGCUGUGGAUUUUCUUGGAUGGAUUUAUUUGCAUCUUUCAGUGUUUAUCGAUCGAGUAUUUGGCGUGUACGUAAGUGCGAUCAAUGAUGAAUGAUAGAGAUUAGAAAUAUCACAAAGAAAUAAUGCCAGGAAAUCAUGGAAGCGAUGAUAUCAGGGCUUUCUAGGAUUCAACUCCCAGUCGAUUGCCUGUAGGCAGGUUUGAGGCACACCCUUUGGAUAUUUGAAUCUAUUUCAUUGUAUUUUCCGCUGCAUGUUCUUUUAUAUUGUAGAUCGGUUGGUCAUAAUGUCGUAAAUUUAAUCCAAUUAAACAUAUUCUCCUUGUAAAAUGUAUGAAUGUGAUAUCACUGUUGUAACCGUGUGUACUUGCUACUGAUCAUGGGACAAGUACAGUGGAAACACAGAGUUUCGGGUAAUCUAAUUACCCGGAGAGUUACAACUACAAAAACUCAGAUAGUUGAGGACUUUGGGAUAUCAAAUUCAGCAAUCAAACAUGACAAUAUCUACUGUUUAGCUUGUUAUUUACUGAUUUUGUCUUGUUAGAUGGCAAAAGCUUCAAAGAUGAUUGCCAAGUGGGACACAUUUGCGAGCAAGGUGUGGGUAGAUAUAUGUGUGGAAGAAGUUAUAGCUCAUAAUAGGCCACAACAACAUUUGAAUGCUUUAGGUUAUGAAAAUCUUAUAAAGAAGUUCCACAAACGCACCAAGAGACCAUACACCCAUGAGCAACAUAAGAAUAGAUGGGAUGCUUUGAAGAGAAUGUAUACAUAGUGGAAGGCAUUGAACAUAAGAGCAUCCAGUUUGGGAAGAGAUCCUGUGACUGGAUGCAUUUCUCCUAGUGACGAUUGGUGGGAAGAGUAAAAUCUGGCUAUGCCAGGCGUAUCAUUUUUAAAACUGUACCACUUGAACACGAGGAUGAGUUGCGGAUCAUCUCUGAGACUAUCAGUUGUACCAAUGAGAGCUCAUUUGUUCCAGGAGUUGGAGCAGCCCCUGCAGGAAAUGGAGAUGAUGAUGUUGUAGAGAAGGAGGGCGAGGAUGCCCCUGUAGGAAGACGUGGCAAAGAGAAAAGACCUAUUGCUGAAGGUUCUCCGAAGGGAAAGAAGCCAAAGAAGACGUACAGAUAUGGUCUUAUGAAGCGGCUGGUGGAUGCAUACAAGAAGAAAUCUGAAAGCAGUAAAAAUUCUGCAACUUCUACAAUGGUUGAUCAUGUUAGAGAGGAGAUAGCUCAUCUGCUAGAAUCAAGGGCGGUCAUUCCAAAAUUCAUUAGCGAUGAUGAUGAUGACUUCAUGGUUGCAUAUGCUGCUUUGGAAUUCAUGAACAACUAUGGUGGCUCAAGUAAGAAGAAGGCUAGGACAAUACCUAUCAUGACUGGAAUUCAGUGGGUUGAAAUCCAACUCGGAGAUAGUGACAAAUGUUACGAUAUGUUUAGAAUGAGAAGGUCAGUUUUUCAUCGUCUCCAUGACACAUUGGUAAAUCAUUAUGGUUUGCAAUCAACAAGAGAACUUUGCAUAAAGAAGCAUUGGCAAUUUUUCUGUGGACUUGUGGUGCACCUCAAUCUAUUCGCCAAGUCAAGAAUUGGUUUGGCCAUUUGACAAAAAUUGUUAGUAGGAAGUUUAAUGAGGUACUAGAGAGUAUAACACUCUUGGUUGUUGACAUCAUAAGAUCCAAAGAUCCUCAGUUUAGGACAGUGCAUUAUAGGUUUCAAGAAGCUAGGUUUUGGCCUCAUUUCAAGGAUUGCAUUGGUGCAAUUGAUGGGUUACACAUACUUGUAUCCGUGCCAUUAAGUGAACAACCUAAAUACAUUGGACGACAUGGAUAUUCUUCACAAAACAUCAUGACGGUUUGUGAUUUUGAUAUGAGGUUCACUUUUGUUGUCACUGGUUGGCCUGGAUCUGUUCAUGACACUCGCGUAUUGAAUGAUACUUUGAUAACCUACAAAGAUCAGUUUCCACAUCCCCCAGAAGGGAAGUUUUAUCUUGUUGAUUCAGGAUAUCCUAAUAAAAAAGGUUUUCUAGCAUCAUACAAGGGUCGAAGAUACCAUGCGCCUAAAUUCCAACAUGGUCAUCAUCCAGUGGGAUCGAAGGAGGUGUUCAACUAUGCACAUUCAUCCCUUCUAAAUGUGAUUGAGCGUUGCUUUGGAGUUCUAAAGAUGAAGUGGUGUAUUUUAUUAAACAUGCCUACCUAUACAAUAGAGAAGCAAUCACAAAUCAUAGUUGCUGCAAUGGCUCUUCUUAAUUUUAUUAGGGAUAGUGCCAUAGAUGAUGCUGAUUUUGAAAACUAUGAUGAUGACAAUACA